UGGCGGCAUUAGCGCGGUGGUCCCACCUGACCCCAUGCCGAACUCAGAAGUGAAACGCCGUAGCGCCGAUGGUAGUGUGGGGUCUCCCCAUGCGAGAGUAGGGAACUGCCA
rnacentral:rRNA from 1 species